rfam:Ciona savignyi cont_42641, whole genome shotgun sequence.
CAAAAGUAUAUAUUUAAGUUGUUGCGGUUAAAAAGCUCGUAGUUGGAUUUGGGCGCAGGCGUCCGGUCCGUCGCAAGGCGUGUACUGUACGUCCUGGCCUUCCCUCCGGUUCUCCGCCGGUGCUCUUGACUGAGUGUCGGCGGCGGCCGGAACGUUUACUUUGAAAAAAUUAGAGUGUUCAAAGCAGGCUCUCGAGCCUGGAUAAUGGUGCAUGGAAUAAUGGAAUAGGACCUCGGUUCUAUUUUGUUGGUUUUCGGAGCGCGAGGUAAUGAUUAAGAGGGACAGACGGGGGCAUUCGUACUGUGCCGUUAGAGGUGAAAUUCUUGGAUCGGCGCAAGACGAACGACUGCGAAAGCAUUUGCCAAGAAUGUUUUCUUUAAUCAAGAGCGAAAGUCAGAGGUUCGAAGACGAUCAGAUACCGUCCUAGUUCUGACUAUAAACGAUGCCAACUAGCGAUCGGGGGGCGUUACAUUGACGACCCCUCCGGCAGCUUACGGGAAACCAAAGUCUUUGGGUUCCGGGGGAAGUAUGGUUGCAAAGCUGAAACUUAAAGGAAUUGACGGAAGGGCACCACCAGGAGUGGAGCCUGCGGCUUAAUUUGACUCAACACGGGAAAUCUCACCCGGCCCGGACACAGUGAGGAUUGACAGAUUGAGAGCUCUUUCUUGAUUCUGUGGGUGGUGGUGCAUGGCCGUUCUUAGUUGGUGGAGCGAUUUGUCUGGUUAAUUCCGAUAACGAACGAGACUCUGGCUUGCUAAAUAGUUACGCGACCAUCCCGGUCGGCGUUUAACUUCUUAGAGGGACAAGUGGCGUUUAGCCACACGAGAUUGAGCAAUAACAGAUCUGUGAUGCCCUUAGAUGUUCGGGGGCCGCACGCGCGCUACACUGACCGGA